rnacentral:rRNA from 1 species
GACAUGCAAGUCGUACGCGAAAGGGGGCAACCCUGAGUAGAGUGGCGCAAGGGUGAGUAAUAGUUAGGUAACGUACCUUCCUGCUGGGGAUAACCAGGGGAAACCCUGGCUAAUACCGAAUAGUCCUCUCGGACACGCAGUUCGAGAGGUAAAGCCGCAAGGCGCGGGAAGAUCGGCCUAACUCCUAUCAGCUAGUUGGUAGGGUAACGGCCUACCAAGGCUAUGACGGGUAGCCGGUCUGAGAGGAUGGUCGGCCACACUGGCACUGAGACACGGGCCAGACUCCUACGGGAGGCAGCAGUUAGGAAUCUUGCGCAAUGGGCGAAAGCCUGACGCAGCAACGCCGCGUGAGGGAAGAAGGCCUUCGGGUUGUAAACCUCUUUCGGCGGGGAAUACUAAAGACAGUACCCGCAGAAGAAGCCCCGGCUAACUACGUGCCAGCGGCCGCGGUAAAACGUAGGGGGCAAGCGUUACUCGGAAUUACUGGGCGUAAAGGGCGUGUAGGCGGUCUGGGGCGUCCCAUGUGAAAGGCCACGGCUCAACCGUGGAGGAGCGUGGGAUACGCUCAGGCUA